CUAAAACUACAGCUUCAAUGAUGCAUUGUCAUUCUAAAAGCAUUCCAAAGGAAUGCAUCGCAUAAUGGGAGUUAUAGUUCUAUAACAUCUGGGGGAUCUACCUUGUGGGCACCCCUGGUCUAAGCAAUAAACCGUACACAGCAGGUAACCUUUUUUAAGGUAAUAAUAGUACAGGUCGUUCUAAGUUAACACACUGAUAUAAAGCAAA